rnacentral:rRNA from 1 species
GACGAACGCUGGCGGCGUGCCUAAUACAUGCGAGUAGAACGCUGAAGGAGGAGCUUGCUCUUCUGGAUGAGUUGCGAACGGGUGAGUAACGCGUAGGUAACCUGCCUGGUAGCGGGGGAUAACUAUUGGAAACGAUAGCUAAUACCGCAUAACAGUAGAUGUUGCAUGACAUUUACUUAAAAGGUGCAAUUGCAUCACUACCAGAUGGACCUGCGUUGUAUUAGCUAGUUGGUGGGGUAACGGCUCACCAAGGCGACGAUACAUAGCCGACCUGAGAGGGUGAUCGGCCACACUGGGACUGAGACACGGCCCAGACUCCUACGGGAGGCAGCAGUAGGGAAUCUUCGGCAAUGGACGGAAGUCUGACCGAGCAACGCCGCGUGAGUGAAGAAGGUUUUCGGAUCGUAAAGCUCUGUUGUAAGAGGAGAACGAGUGUGAGAGUGGAAAGUUCACACUGUGACGGUAUCUUACCAGAAAGGGACGGCUAACUACGUG